rnacentral:rRNA from 1 species
CAGUAGCCGCGGUAAUACGUAAGGUGCAAGCGUUAAUCGGAAUUACUGGGCGUAAAGCGUGCGCAGGCGGUUUUGUAAGUCUGUCGUGAAAUCCCCGGGCUCAACCUGGGAAUGGCGAUGGAGACUGCAAGGCUAGAAUCUGGCAGAGGGUGGUAGAAUUCCACGUGUAGCAGUGAAAUGCGUAGAUAUGUGGAGGAACACCGAUGGCGAAGGCAGCCCCCUGGGCUAAGACUGACGCUCAUGCACGAAAGCGUGGGGAGCAAACAGGAUUAGAUACCCGGGUAGUCCCUGUCUCUUAUAA